rnacentral:lncRNA from 1 species
GAAUUUCGAAGUGACUUUGCUGAGCCUUCUGGGUUGUGGUUUAUGCAAGAACCUUCCAAGGACCCGGUUGAGUCACCGGCUGUGAUCAGGCAGCAUCUCCCCGCCUGCAGACCAAGAGCCAGGCAUGAGACGGCAGGAGCGCCGACCUGCAGGUCUGUCUGCAGCAGGACGCACGGCGGCUGACUCAGCGGAGACUUGCCCGGAACCUGGCUGCCAGGUUUCCCACUGCCAACGCUGAGCCGUCCCGAGGAGGAGCAGAGCAGAAGCCUCCAGCAAAGAAUAAAACAACAAGGCCUCUACCAUGCCGCCCCUUCUGCCACCAUCGAUUCCACCAGGACAAAGCUAAGAUGUCAUGAGUUCAGAGAGCUCGAAGUGUCGUCAGAAGGAGGACAUUCUCAGAAUGCCCCGGGGGAUACGUGCUCUUCAAACUUUCAACAUGGUGAAGGCCUGGGAGGUGGUGGACCGCGACAAGAACGCUGGGAGUGUGACCAGCACAGGCCCGGAGGCGCCCAGGGCCUCAUCUCUCCGCGUCUGAGCUCCCGGUUUCAUGCUCAGCCAAGGAAUUCGAGCUUCACUUUUAGCGUCAGGGAGAAAACUAAAGAUUGGUAUUGACCGGUACCUUCUUUUUCAAAAUGCACACAAAACAUGCAUGUUUCUCCUUACUCUUUCUUUUUUUUUUUUUUUUUUUUUGAGGUUUUUGCUGCACAUUUAGGAGUCAGAAUCUGCAUGAUAUUUAGGAUGAAGAAAGGUUGAGUUUUUAAUCUCAGAGCACAAGUUCUCGGGUAACUUUCAAGUUCCUCAGAAUCUUCUGAUUUUCCAUC